rnacentral:misc_RNA from 1 species
AACAUUAUAAAUCUUUUCUCUAUAGAAAGAUGUAGGAAUAGAGAACCUACAAUAAUGAUUAGAAUAGCUAUAUUCUUACAAAAAGAAACUUUAUUAAAGCCACUUAACUAAUUGGCUUUAGACAUUCAUUUUACUUUAAAGGGUGCAUAAUAUUAACACAUGAAUCAUAAAUGAUUAUAAACAAAACCGUACACCAUAAGCUUAUUAUGCAUCAAAGUUGAAAUUAACGUGCAUUACCAACUUGUGAACUUCUAGUAAAAAAUACCAUGAGGAUAAUUAGAUUGUUGAUA